AUGCAGUUAAGCCUUGUGUCAGCUAUUAUUGGGUUUGCUGUUGCAGUAUGUAACGGACAGUUAGAUCCUUCAGAUAGCAGCGUGGAACUACCAAGUGGAUUUUCCUUUAUUGGGGGGACAGAAAAAAGACGAUUUCGAGAGGACCUUUCAAAAAAGAGUCGUUUAACAACAUUUAGAAUUAUUGAUCCGCGACAAAGACGCUAUGACACAAGAUCCACCUCGGUUAGAAACGGUGAUAAUGAUAGUGAAAACGGCGAUAACAAAUGGACGAACAGACGAACAUUCGUUCUCACGAGAAGGAGACCAAACAGAUAUGUAUCUGCAAUCGGUAGUAUUUCAAGAUAUCAACAAAGACCGAUGUCAAGUAUUACAAGAUAUCAACAAAGACCGAUGUCAAGUUUUUCAAGAUACCAACAAAGACCGAUUUCAACGUUUAGAACUUUUAGGCCGAAUUUAACUUUCGGAAGGCGUUAUAUUGUACCGUUCCAUUGAAUGACAAUUCGUUAGAUUUUGUUUAGUAUUAGAAUUUUUAAUCCGAAUAUCAUAAUUGAUUGA